rnacentral:rRNA from 1 species
UACGUAGGGGCCUAGCGUUGUCCGGAAUUAUUGGGCGUAAAGAGCUCGUAGGCGGUUCGGCAAGUCGGAUGUGAAAUCUCCACGCUCAACGUGGAGAGGCCAUUCGAAACUGCCGUGACUCGAGUCCGGUAGGGGAGUGUGGAAUUCCCGGUGUAGCGGUGAAAUGCGCAGAUAUCGGGAGGAACACCAGUAGCGAAGGCGGCACUCUGGGCCGGUACUGACGCUGAGGAGCGAAAGCGUGGGGAGCGAACAGG